rnacentral:rRNA from 1 species
GACGAACCGAGCAAGCGUUAUUCGGAAUCACUGGGCUUAAAGAGUCCGUAGGCGGCGCGUUAGGUGGGGUGUGAAAUCCCUCGGCCCAACCGAGGAAUUGCGCUCCAAACCGGCGUGCUCGAGGAAGGUAGAGGUGAGCGGAACUGAUGGUGGAGCGGUGAAAUGCGUUGAUAUCAUCAGGAACACCGGAGGCGAAGGCGGCUCACUGGGCCUUUUCUGACGCUGAGGGACGAAAGCCAGGGUAGCGAACGGG